CAUAGGACUUGAGUCCCAACAAGACAGCCUACAUUACAGAAGGUGCAAAUAACAGGAGAAAAAUCAAGGUGCUAUUACCAGACAGGUGGUGCACCCAUGCAUAUAAAUAAACCAUGCUCAGGAAUCAGUUCAUACAGCAUGCUGCUGACCUGCUUUUCUAUUUUAGAUCCCACAUCAUGACUACAAUAGUCAGGUGAAAUCCAUUUAGUCUCUGCACAGGUCCAUAAAAAUAUAUGUGUCUCUGUAAAACUACAAUAAGAGUAAGUUGAAAAUCCUUACCCAUGAAAUGAGAACUAUGUUUCCAUCUACCUCACCACACGCUGCACAGAAUUUGCUGGCCUGGCACACUGUUCUUCAUGGUAAUUGCUUUCUGAACUCCAGAAAUGGAAAAGAAGCAGCAUUGGCUACAGUAAAGAAAGAGGGCUCUUAACUUCCACAGUAGAGAAAGACUGCUCCUGGUCACAGGUGCAACAGCCCUACUCCUCCUAAAGCAGAAAUUCUGCCUGGUGAUCUGGCAUCCAGAAAUUUAACAUUCUCAAU
rnacentral:lncRNA from 1 species